rnacentral:lncRNA from 1 species
GGUCUUGGUCAAGGGAGCAGAAAUUUUUGCUUUCCAGUCCUUUCUUCAUUGCAUAUAUCACCAAUACCAAGAGAAGUACUAUAUUUAAAGAAGCUCCUGCCUUUAAGAAAUUUAGACUAUGCCUCGCCCUCCACCACUGAUAUACAAUGAAAAUUAAAUGCAUCAUUUCAUGUAAAUGACUUAGUGCAUGGCACAUAACCAAUGCCUUCUACAUAAGAACUACUCAAUAAAUAUUUGUUCAACUAAUGAAUGGAAAUGUUCACUAUUAAAAUGACCACAUGAAAAUGACAUGGAAAGCUUUGACCAAGAGGGAAGAGGAGGACUCUGAAGUAAUACCCCUUGAAAGGCAGACUUUUAGGGAGAGUCAAUAACAGCAGCUACUAAGUGGUGGAGAAAGUAAGCAGGAGACACAGAAGCAGCUGACCGUAUUCCUCUUCUCUAAUGCCUUCCUUCCU